rnacentral:SRP_RNA from 1 species
GCCGAGUGCAGUGGCACGUGCAUGUAGUCCCAGCUACUCGGGAGUCUGAGGUGGGAGGAUCACUUGAGCCCAGGAGUUCUGGGUGUAGUGCGCUAUGCCGACUGAGUGUGUGCACUAAGUUUGGCAUCAAUAUGGUGACCUCCUAGGAGUGGGGGACCACCAAGUUCCCUAAGGAGGGGUAAACCGGCCCAGGUCGGAAAUGGAGCAGGUCAAAACUCCAGUGCUGAUCAGUAGUGGGAUUGCACCUGUGAAUAACCACUGCACUCCAGCAUGGGCAACAUAGCAAGACCAUGUCUCU